UACAGAGGUCUCAAGCGUUGUUCGGAUUCAUUGGGCGUAAAGGGUGCGUAGGUGGCGCUGUAAGUCGGGUGUGAAAUUUCGGAGCUUAACUCCGAAACUGCAUUCGAUACUGCCGUGCUUGAGGACUGGAGAGGAGACUGGAAUUUACGGUGUAGCGGUGAAAUGCGUAGAUAUCAGGAGGAACACCGGUGGCGAAGGCGGGUCUCUGGGCCGAUACUGACGCUGAGGAGCGAAAGCGUGGGGAGCGAACAGG
rnacentral:rRNA from 1 species